UACGAAGGGGGCUAGCGUUGUUCGGAAUUACUGGGCGUAAAGGGCGCGUAGGCGGUCUUAACAGUCUGAUGUGAAAGACCUGGGCUUAACCUGGGAACUGCAUUGGAUACUAUGAGACUAGAGGGUGUGAGAGGAAAGUGGAAUGACGAGUGUAGAGGUGAAAUUCGUAGAUAUUCGUUGGAACACCAGAGGCGAAGGCGGCUUUCUGGCACACUACUGACGCUAAGGCGCGAAAGCGUGGGGAGCAAACAGG
rnacentral:rRNA from 1 species